rnacentral:rRNA from 1 species
CCUACGGGGGGCAGCAGUGGGGAAUAUUGCACAAUGGGCGCAAGCCUGAUGCAGCAACGCCGCGUGAGGGAUGAAGGCCUUCGGGUUGUAAACCUCUUUUAGCAGGGAAGAAGCGAAAGUGACGGUACCUGCAGAAAAAGCGCCGGCUAACUACGUGCCAGCAGCCGCGGUAAUACGUAGGGCGCAAGCGUUGUCCGGAAUUAUUGGGCGUAAAGAGCUCGUAGGCGGUUUGUCGCGUCUGCUGUGAAAAUCCGAGGCUCAACCUCGGACCUGCAGUGGGUACGGGCAAACUAGAGUGCGGUAGGGGAGAUUGGAAUUCCUGGUGUAGCGGUGGAAUGCGCAGAUAUCAGGAGGAACACCAAUGGCGAAGGCAGAUCUCUGGGCCGUAACUGACGCUGAGGAGCGAAAGCGUGGGGAGCGAACAGGAUUAGAUACCCCCGUAGUC